UGGGGUUUUGGCUCAGAGGUAGAGCACUGGCCUACUAUGCAUGAGGCACUGAGUUCUAUCCUCAGCACCACAU
rnacentral:tRNA from 1 species